rnacentral:rRNA from 1 species
CAGUCGCCGCGGUAAUACGUAGGGUGCAAGCGUUAAUCGGAAUUACUGGGCGUAAAGCGUGCGCAGGCGGUUAUAUAAGUCAGAUGUGAAAUCCCCGGGCUCAACCUGGGAACUGCAUUUGAGACUGUAUGGCUAGAGUGUGUCAGAGGGGGGUAGAAUUCCACGUGUAGCAGUGAAAUGCGUAGAUAUGUGGAGGAAUACCGAUGGUGAAGGCAGCCCCCUGGGAUAACACUGACGCUCAUGCACGAAGGCGUGGGGAGCAAACAGGAUUAGAUACCCCGGUAGUCCCUGUCUCUUAUAA